rnacentral:lncRNA from 1 species
GAAAAAGCCAGCUGGAUGACAUUAAUCUCUCCUCAGACAAUUGACAAUUAUGUGUGAUUUCAUAACCUCAUGUGAAGUGCUAGGCUUCCGGCCUGGGCACCUCAGGGCAGGGUGCUCACCUUUUCCAGGAUUUAAGUCCACUGGGGACUUGCAAGUUUCCCCACCAGCACCAAAUGGACAGACUCCCCACGUUACCACUGAGCUAUCUCCAUCAGAUGCCAAGUUGCUGUUAUAAACGAUAUGCUGCUCCAUCUUCCAGUUUCCUCUAUGCCCUGGGCUCAUCACCUGUGGCUGCACCAAUCCAUGCAGCCUCAUUGGUAGGGCUUCCGGAGGACGUUAGAGCUUCAGGAAAGGAACUGGUGCUCCUCUUUUUCAAAAUCGCUUGACCUUACAUUUACUUCUGUCGGGGUCUCGCAAAUGUAGAGUGAGCCGGUGACUACGUUUUGAAAACAGUGCUACGGCCGUUACUAGCUUUAUACAUUCAUUCAUAGGUAUUUGCUGUUAAACUUUAUCACCAGGGCUUUUCCUGAAAGUCUUCCCUCGGGCAGUUUGAGGGUGACUUUUCAUCAUUGGCAUCAUUGGACUGACUGAUCAAAACGCCCUGAUUAAGUAAAACUCAUGAUUUCUUGACUAUCUGUUUUUCUUGGGUCUUUAUUGUUCUGGGUAUCUCCAUACACACGACGGUUCCAUGUAUGACACCGAUUUACCCUCACAGUCAGUCCU